rnacentral:misc_RNA from 1 species
GCCAUCUUCCUUACAAGUGAAGCUUUUGCAAUGCUCCAAGAGUUUCUUCACUGACAAGGACUAUAUAAAAAUAUGGAAUCUGCAUUUUAAGUCAAGCAAGCUUGCUUUAAAAUUCCAAAUAUGUUUACUAUCAUAUUUGUGUAUGCCUUUUGAAGUGUUGAUAUUGUAUGAAGCUAUUAAUAUGGCUCCCUUGAGGAAUGGUACCUUGCUAUUCACAGUAUGAAUUGCAUCCUGCUGCAGAAGUGUGAACCACAGUUGCUAAAUUAGUCUGAACAAUGAUUAUGGCAGUAUCUCAGACUCUGUUACAA